rnacentral:rRNA from 1 species
GAUUAACGCUAGCGGGAGGCCUAAUACAUGCAAGGCGAGGGUGAAUACUUUCGGGUAUGAAACCGCCGUACGGGUGCGUAACGCGUAUGCAACCUACCCAUCACAGGGGGACAGCCCAUG